AUGCUCGCUUCAGGAGCACACAUAUCAAAUUUGGAAUGAUACGGAGAUUAGCAUGGCCCCUGAGCAAAGAUGCAUGCAAAACUCAUGAAGCAUCCCAUAUUUUC